rnacentral:rRNA from 1 species
AACGAACGCUGGCGGCAGGCUUAACACAUGCAAGUCGAGCGCCCCGCAAGGGGAGCGGCAGACGGGUGAGUAACGCGUGGGAAUCUACCCAUCUCUACGGAAUAACGCAUGGAAACGUGUGCUAAUACCGUAUACGUCCUUCGGGAGAAAGAUUUAUCGGAGAUGGAUGAGCCCGCGUUGGAUUAGCUAGUUGGUGGGGUAAAGGCCUACCAGGGCGACGAUCCAUAGUUGGUCUGAGAGGAUGAUCAGCCACACUGGGACUGAGACACGGCCCAGACUCCUACGGGAGGCAGCAGUGGGGAAUAUUGGACAAUGGGCGCAAGCCUGAUCCAGCCAUGCCGCGUGAGUGAUGAAGGCCCUAGGGUUGUAAAGCUCUUUCACCGGUGAAGAUAAUGACGGUAACCGGAGAAGAAGCCCCGGCUAACUUCGUGCCAGCCGCCGCGGUAAUAC